AACGAACGCUGGCGGCAUGCCUAACACAUGCAAGUCGAACGAAGCCUUCGGGCUUAGUGGCGCACGGGUGCGUAACGCGUGGGAGUCUGCCCUUGGGUUCGGAAUAACAGUUAGAAAUGACUGCUAAUACCGGAUGAUGUCUUCGGACCAAAGAUUUGUCGCCCAAGGAUGAGCCCGCGUAGGAUUAGGUAGUUGGUGGGGUAAUGGCCCACCAAGCCGACGAUCCUUAGCUGGUCUGAGAGGAUGAUCAGCCACACUGGGACUGAGACACGGCCCAGACUCCAACGGGAGGCAGCAGUGGGGAAUAUUGGACAAUGGGCGAAAGCCUGAUCCAGCAAUGCCGCGUAAGUGAUGAAGGCCUUAGGGUUGUAAAGCUCUUUUACCAGGGAUGAUAAUGACAGUACCUGGAGAAUAAGCUCCGGCUAACUCCGUGCCAGCAGCCGCCGUAA
rnacentral:rRNA from 1 species